CACUCCUGCGGGAGGCAGCAGUGGGGAAUAUUGCACAAUGGGCGCAAGCCUGAUGCAGCCAUGCCGCGUGUAUGAAGAAGGCCUUCGGGUUGUAAAGUACUUUCAGCGGGGAGGAAGGCGAUAAGGUUAAUAACCUUGUUGAUUGACGUUACCCGCAGAAGAAGCACCGGCUAACUCCGUGCCAGCAGCCGCGGUAAUACGGAGGGUGCAAGCGUUAAUCGGAAUUACUGGGCGUAAAGCGCACGCAGGCGGUCUGUCAAGUCGGAUGUGAAAUCCCCGGGCUCAACCUGGGAACUGCAUUCGAAACUGGCAGGCUAGAGUCUUGUAGAGGGGGGUAGAAUUCCAGGUGUAGCGGUGAAAUGCGUAGAGAUCUGGAGGAAUACCGGUGGCGAAGGCGGCCCCCUGGACAAAGACUGACGCUCAGGUGCGAAAGCGUGGGGAGCAAACAGGAUUAGAAACCCGGGUAGUCCCAUGAU
rnacentral:rRNA from 1 species